UUGUACUAAUAUGGGUCUUCACUGUUUUUGAGAACACAAGAUGUUAACUAAAAUCUACAAUGUAAAUUAAUGGUUAAACUUCCUUCAAAGAAACUUCAAGGCUGAAUUAACAUACCUGUCCCGGAUUAACUUGGUGGAGACUUAAAAACAGAUUUAAAAAAAAAGAUUACUGAGAAGACUUUGCAGAAUGCCCCCAGAUUUGGCACGGCUUUCUCACAGUAACACUUGAUGGUGCGGCUCUUCAAAAGAAAGGAGGGCUGAAUUAGUGAAACAAUCCCACAGGUGCAUGGCCUGUGGGUUUCAGUUCCAGUUUUGCCCUUCUGAGAUCAGUGACAGCCCACCCUCAAGGCACCAUCUGCAGGCCUAAGGGAAAGAUGUCCCAUCUCAAACGUGGGAAAGGAAAAACUCAAUUUGAAAGCUGACUUAAUUACCUUCUGUUUUCAGAAAGCUUCCUUCUUUGUACCUCUAACCUUUUUCUCACUCAUGCUGCAAAACUAUUUUGGCAUCAAAUUUACCCAAUGUUUCUGGUUCCUAUUUUCAAUUUCUAUAUCUACUUCAGAAAUACUGAUGGGAGGCAGGGAAGUGAUUUUGUGGGUUUGGAGGUUGUCAGACUCAGCAGAUCUUCCACGAGAGCAAGGUUACUGCUCAUUUCUGAAACCCAGGCAUGAGGAACUCAAAUUACAUCAUAGAUGUUGUCACAUUUAUUUGUUUUUUUAACAUGAAACAACUUGGAGACAAUUUUAAAAUUGAGUUAUCAUACAAUUGUAUUUUCUUUAGAACUCCACUCUCAGUUCGAAAGAAUGUGAAAAGAAAAAUGCAAUCCAUAAGCCAGGCACAGACAUAUUGUAUUUUAAAAUGACACUGAAAAUAAGUAAAGUUUCGGUGGUAUUUUUUCUUUAUUUUUUGGGGGUAGGAUGAGGAGGUCAUUGGUGGUCAUAUCAUAGGAUGGGUUUGAUAUUGGGAAAAGAAACUCUCAACCUGCUAAA